AUUGAACGCUGGCGGCAUGCCUUACACAUGCAAGUCGAACGGCAGCACGGGAGCAAUCCUGGUGGCGAGUGGCGAACGGGUGAGUAAUAUAUCGGAACGUGCCCAGUCGUGGGGAUAACGUAGCGAAAGCUACGCUAAUACCGCAUACGAUCUAUGGAUGAAAGCGGGGGAUCGCAAGACCUCGCGCGAUUGGAGCGGCCGAUAUCAGAUUAGGUAGUUGGUGAGGUAAAGGCUCACCAAAGCCGACGAUCUGUAGCUGGUCUGAGAGGAUGAUCAGUCACACUGGAACUGAGACACGGUCCAGACUCCUAACGGGAGGCAGCAGUGGGGAAU
rnacentral:rRNA from 1 species